rnacentral:tRNA from 1 species
GGAGGGAUGGGUGAGUGGCUGAAACCAGCCGUUUGCUAAACGGCCGUACGAGUAAUGCUCGUACCGAGGGUUCGAAUCCCUCUCCCUCCGCCA